AAGUCGUAACAAGGUUUCCGUAGGGUGAGUCCCUGCUGCCCCUAUUUUCUCUUGAAUCCAGCUAACCAAAAAGUGAACCUGCGGAAGGAUCAUUAAACGAGUGCCCGCCUGCGGGUGCAAACGUCCGGUGAGGUCAACUGCACUGCUUCGGCGCAAGCCGAACGAAACCGUCGUCGUGUUUGUCUGAGCCAACAUGAAUGACAAAA
rnacentral:misc_RNA from 1 species